CCGCUGGUGCGGGUUCGGCCAGGCCGGCUCGGCCGUGAUCGGGCUGGCGAUCGGGAUCAGCCUGGUCGGCUGGUUCGGCAUCCAGUCGGCGGUC
rnacentral:tRNA from 1 species